rnacentral:rRNA from 1 species
AUUGAACGCUGGCGGCAGGCUUAACACAUGCAAGUCGAGCGAGCGGCGGACGGGUGAGUAAUGUAUGGGAAACUGCCCGAUGGAGGGGGAUAACUACUGGAAACGGUAGCUAAUACCGCCUACUAUCAGAUGAGCCCAGAUGGGAUUAGCUAGUAGGUGGGGUAAGGGCUCACCUAGGAGACGAUCCCUAGCUGGUCUGAGAGGAUGACCCGCCACACUGGGACUGCGACACGGUCCAGACUCCUACGUGAGGCAGCAGUGGGGAAUAUUGCACAAUGGGCGCAAGCCUGAUGCAGCCAUGCCGCGUGUGUGAAGAAGGCCUUAGGGUUGUAAAGCACUUUCAGCGAGGAGGCGUUACUCGCAGAAGAAGCACCGGCUAACUCCGUGCCAGCAGCCGCGGUAAUAC